rnacentral:rRNA from 1 species
UACGUAGGGGGCAAGCGUUGUCCGGAAUCAUUGGGCGUAAAGCGCGUGUAGGCGGCUCGAUAAGUCUGCUGUGAAAGUCCAGGCUCAACCCUGGGAUGCCGGUGGAUACUGUCGAGCUCGAGUCCGGAAGAGGCGAGUGGAAUUCCUGGUGUAGCGGUGAAAUGCGCAGAUAUCAGGAGGACACCGGUGGCGAAGGCGGACUCUGGGCCUACCUGACGCUGAGGCGCGAAAGCUAGGGGAGCAAACAGG